CAGCCGCCGCGGUAAUACGAAGGGGGCUAGCGUUGUUCGGAUUUACUGGGCGUAAAGGGUGCGUAGGCGGAUUGUUAAGUCAGGGGUGAAAUCCCGAGGCUCAACCUCGGAACUGCCUUUGAUACUGGCGAUCUUGAGUCCGGGAGAGGUGAGUGGAACUGCGAGUGUAGAGGUGAAAUUCGUAGAUAUUCGCAAGAACACCGGUGGCGAAGGCGGCUCACUGGCCCGGUACUGACGCUGAGGCACGAAAGCGUGGGGAGCAAACAGGAUUAGAGACCCCCGUAGUCCCUGUCUCUUAUAC
rnacentral:rRNA from 1 species